AUGGAAGUGAUGAUCCUUUCCCCAGCUUAUCGACUAUGAUUAUACUGUGCGCUUUUUGUAUUUUCUCUCUUUUUUUUUUAAAGAGAAUGUCAAGCCAGAAAUCUGAUCCAU